UUCCGAUGGGGCGAUGGUGUCCGCCUUCGACUGCCCUCAGGGCUGAUGACACCUACAGGCUA
rnacentral:ncRNA from 2 species